ensembl:lncRNA
UUCAGGGCAGGCUACACCUCCAUUAUGCUCCAUCACCUGGAAUACAGCCACAGCCCCGAAAGAAAAUCAACAAAGGCUGCGUGGCUUUUACUGCUGAUGGAACCAAACUUUCCAAAUACACAUCAAGGGCUCAAUAUGAUUCCACUGAACUUCUCCCAGCGACCCACAGUUCAAACAAAGACCUCGAGUCAAGAGUGCCACAGCACAGGGAACGCUGCCAGGCCCAGCGGAGCACUCACCACUUCACUCCCAAACAGGCUUGUACCUACUGGCAACCCAGCCAUGGCCAGCUCAUGAUCUUGGACCCCUGCCUACUUCCCUCAAAGCAGGCAAAGGCCAUCGAGUUCAUAUUGGGCUUGAAAUUAAUGAUUGCGAUAACAUAACGAAUGGCGCGGGCAGCGGAGAUGAUUGCUACUUUGGAGAGGGAGCACCAAGAUGACUGCAAACUCUGCCCCUUGACUCUGCCUCGGUGAGGAGGGGAGAGGAAGACGCCAAGCGGAUGGAGCAGCAGAACACACACAGGAUUCGCUCCAGCCGUGUGCGAAUUCCAGUACGAGGCAGAGGCUCUGCUCGAGGUCAGAGGAAAGCCACGAGAUAUCAAUCCAUCUACAGAAAAAUAAAACCAACGUUCAGAAAGUGUCAACAAAUGUCAGUGGGUGCCAUAUUUUCUGCAUGGAGGAAUUCAGUGACACACCUUCACGAGCACUUUCACGUUGGAUGCCAUUGUGUCAGACUGCCCCUCUGAUGCCAUCUGCCACACAGCAACAAAACAUAAUGGGAUACUGGUGAGAAGGUUCAGCCUCUUCUGCCAUAUGACCAACAUCUGCCUUUGGCACUGUGGCUAUCUUGAAACCUGCUCUCAAACGCAGCCCACGGGCAGAGGGUUGGCCAUGCCUGUAAGUCAGCAGUCUUCUGCAGCACUCUGCCUUCUUACAGUCCCCUCUCAGCAUCAACGCGCAGGCUGGGCGUUCAGAGAGAAAAAGCUUUUGAGCACGUUGAGUAGAAAACAAGUUACUGAAAUAGCACUGGAGGUCACAGAAAAAGCAGUCUGUAAGCUAACCAGACUGCCCUGUUGCAAAGGCUUUCAGGUUUUCGUAGCACUGACCAAGGUACCGCUGGAGAGUGGGGUCUGUGGAGCUCAUUGUGAGCAGCUUGGCAGUGCCGUGCGGUUUCUGGCAGCUGGACAAAAUGCUUGCGGUUGGCAGGCCUCUCGCAAAGCCAUGGAAGGAAAGGAUAUAAAAAGAACACUGUUUCUGGAUUAACCAGAGGGACGGGCUGCACUGGCCGGUCACCACACAGUGCAGGAAGGAGCGGGCUGAGCUCCCUCAUUCACCACAUCCGCUGCUUCUGUGGAGCCAGAAGGAGGCAAUCAGGGGCCGCUACCAGAACAGAAGGCCUACAUGAAUCUUCCAAAGUAGCUGAUGUGACGUGAGACUCGUUUGGAAAGUGCUUUUCGUUUUAUAUACAGCUCAGCAACAGAAGCUUUUACUUUAAUCUUCUCAUUUCAUAGUGCCUGGGGUAAAAAAAAAACAAACAACAAAAAAAACAAACCAGCCUCAGCCGAGUGCAGCUUCGGUUUAAACAGAUUGUAUGGCAGCUCCAUUGGGUAUUUAGGUCCAGUUAAUUCCUUAUAACAUGAGAAAAUUUCUAGUGACAUCUGGAUUCCCUUUUUCCUCCUCCAGGCACACUCAGUCUGUGCUCUCACCAUGAAAGUUCAGAGCAGGUUGAAAUAUCACCUGCAGGAGUAAUUUUUGGUUGAAAAAAUAAAAGGGUUUUUUUAAUGCCAACCGUUACCGGAACAGGCUGCCCAUGGAGGUGGUGGAGUCACUGACCCUGGAGGCGUUCAAGAACUGUGUGGGUGUGGCACUGAGGGACAUGGUUAGUGGGAAUGGUGGGGGUGGGCUAACAGUUGGACUUAAUGAUCUUAGAGGUAGGUCUUUUCCAGCCUUAAUGAUUCUAUGAACCUACAAUCAAUUAAUGGCAGCCCAGAUCCUCAUCUCAAGAACUCCAGUCUCUAUACUGUUUCUUUAAUGAACGUUAGAAGCAAGGCUUGUUUUUUCAUUACUGAAUAAAACAGAGCUCUAUUAGGCUUUUGGAUUGAUCUUGUUUCCCAGCCUUCUUAUUUGUAAUGUUUUUUUGACAGAUGUGCUCAGGCUAUUCUCGUUGUGAGAAGAAACAGGGAACAGCAUCAGAUGAACUUGUUGUCAGGUUAUUAUUUGUCAACAAGAUCAAGCAAAGCCCUGCUCUCCUGGAGAAAUCGAAUUUCCCCACCAGCCAGGCUGAAUACUUCCAGCCAGUAUCCUGCCACUUCCCAGCAGACCUGUUCUUAGGUUCACAAAAGUUCCUUCGGUCUCCAUCAAACUCUCAUAUACUCAUGAGGCAUACUUACACAUCCCAUUCCCCAAAUAAUAUUCAGAUUUAAAAAAACAAAAAUCUAUCCAAAGCAUGAAAUUACAUUCAGUGGUGUGUAGCGAUAGGACAAGGAGUAAUGGCCUAAAAACUUGAACAUAGGGAGUUCCAUACAAACAUGCAGAAGAACUUCUCUACAGUAAGAAUGAUGGAAGACUGGAACAGGCUGCCCAGAGAGGUUGUGGAGUCUCCUUUUAUGGAGAUAUUCAGGACCCAUCUGGACGCCUACCUGUGUGACCUACUGUAGGGUACCUCCUUUGGCAGGGGGUUGGACUUGAUAUCUCUUAAGGUUCCUUUCAACCCCUGUGAUUCUAUGAUUCCCAAGUAUUUGUCUUUAGUGACUUUUAGAAAAAAGGCCUCUUCUCUGCUCUGUACAUCCCUGCUAAUGAGCACAAGCAUCAAGAAGUAGAGCAGUGACCAUGCUACUUGCCCAACUGAUUGCUAUUGCUAAUGAACCACCCUGAUUAAAAGCUGUUCUCGUCAGUCCACAGUGGUGUUCUGAAGGGAGAUCCUGUAGUAAAUGAGAUCAUCAGUGAAAUGAUCAUUAGUGUGUGUAGAUUGUUAAAACCUUCCUGAAAACUGCUAUAAUGAAGCUAGAGUUGAAAGUACUUUUAAUUAAUUUUGGGUCAAAUAAUCCUUGGGAUGUGAAAGUGAUCUGUCACUAUCCCCCCAAAAUUAUACAUCGAAGAAAAGAGCAAGAGGAAUGUCAGGACUGAUUAGAUAACAACUGGAUGGAGGUAAUUAGUUGCUCAACUUCCAAGGAAAAGGUGGCAGAGAGCUCUGUGAAUGUGAGCGUGCAGAAGGCACACAAACAGCCCACGGCCUGCCUCUGCUCAGGGUCCCACAGACCUGAUGGUUCAGGGCAAUGUGAGUGCCAUUUUGGGUGCCAGGUGACUCCCAGGGACUUGGAUUGCCCCCCAGCCCCUUCCAUUGACAAAAGAGAGCUAGGCAAAAGAGGCAGCUAACGAGUUCCAUAGGAGUGUAAGGGAGAGACAUACAAAGAGCAGAGACUAAUACUGACCUUACAUUCCUCCAGUUUAGCCAACACAGUCCCACCUUUGCCAUGUGGGUGGCAUGUGAUGAGUUGGUGUGGGCUCCAGAAAAGCUCCUUGAGCACCACAUAUGUCUGAGAUCUGAGGGAAGUGUAAUUAAAAGCACAGAUUUUGACACAUCUGAAGGAAACAGGUAAUUGUAUGUGCUGAGAUCACCCCUGGGUUACGACAGAGGAGCCUACUAGCCUGCAUGAAUGAUCAGCAGAGCAUUGUACUGAAGAAUGAGAAAACAGUGUGUGAGUCCCCUUGCCUCAAAGGAGGCACCUCUAUCCUGCAGUCCUUUACUCAGGUAACCAAUCAGUCCUUCCAGUUCUGCAGAACAGCAGGAAUGGCAAGGAACUGGCCUUGCACUAAUUAUCUGGAUAUGUUAACACAUUCCCUGCCAUGACUUGGUAUUGAAGGAAGCCUUUAAGACCUUCAGAACUGCAUCUAUGUACCAGAUGCUUGGUUAAUGAGGCCUUCAAGAAACCCAGCUAACAGUCAUUAAACAGAAAACACAAGAUUAACAUUUAAGAGCAUCAAUUACUGAUUUACUACUUUAACAAGCUGUUAAUAAAU